rnacentral:rRNA from 1 species
AUGAUAGGAGCGCCACAACCACGCACAAUCCUCAUAGACCAAGCUCGUGCAAUGGAGGUUGCCAUAGAAGAUGCCAUGCCACAUACAACACAUCGGUGGUGCAAAUGGCAUGUGUUGAAGAAAGCAAAAGAGUGCCUUGGGCCACUGCUAGGCAAAGGUAGUGAGUUCAAACAGGAGUUCAACAAGAUGGUGCAUCACAUGGUUAGCGAGAAAGAAUUUGAGGAUGGUUUGGCAUGUAUGGUUCAGAAGCACGGUCUACAAAAUAAUGUAUUUCUUACACAAAUAUAUGAGACUCGGAUGAAAUGGGCUAAGCCUUACUUCAUGGAUGUUUUUUGUGCCAAGAUGACCAGCACGCAACGGAGUGAAAGUGCAAACCAUUUGCUGAAAGGAUAUGUGCCACCAGGAUCCCUGAUGCACCUUUUCGUCAGGCAAUAUGAGAAGAUGCAAUUUGACAGAGAUUCGGAGGAGAGCUAUCAAGAGAAGAGAACCAAACUGGGUGGUGUUGUGCUCGCUCAGAACCUACCUAUUGAGAUACAUGCAUAA